rnacentral:tRNA from 1 species
UCCCUGGUGGUCCAGUGGUUAAGACUCUGCCUUCCAGUGCAGGGUGCACAGGCUCAAACCCUGUUUGGGGAA